CACUCCUGCGGGAGGCAGCAGUGGGGAAUAUUGGACAAUGGGCGCAAGCCUGAUCCAGCCAUGCCGCGUGAGUGAUGAAGGCCCUAGGGUUGUAAAGCUCUUUCACCGGUGAAGAUAAUGACGGUAACCGGAGAAGAAGCCCCGGCUAACUUCGUGCCAGCAGCCGCGGUAAUACGAAGGGGGCUAGCGUUGUUCGGAUUUACUGGGCGUAAAGCGCACGUAGGCGGACUAUUAAGUCAGGGGUGAAAUCCCGGGGCUCAACCCCGGAACUGCCUUUGAUACUGGUAGUCUUGAGUUCGAGAGAGGUGAGUGGAAUUCCGAGUGCAGAGGUGAAAUUCGUAGAUAUUCGGAGGAACACCAGUGGCGAAGGCGGCUCACUGGCUCGAUACUGACGCUGAGGUGCGAAAGCGUGGGGAGCAAACAGGAUUAGAAACCCUAGUAGUCCCA
rnacentral:rRNA from 1 species